AGCUCCAAGAGCGUAUAUUAAAGUUGUUGCGGUUAAAAAGCUCGUAGUCGAAUUUCUGCUGAGACUGGCAGGUCCGCCCCCUGGGUGUGUAUCUUGCUUUGUCUCGGCAUCUUCGUGGGGAACGUUCUGCACUUGAUUGUGUGGAGCGGUUGCCGCGACGUUUACCUUGAGGAAAUUAGAGUGUUUCAAGCAGGCAUUCGCCUUGAAUACAUUAGCAUGGGAUAAUACCAUGGGACAUCGAUCUCAUUUGUUGGCUUUUGAGAAUGAUGUAAUGUCAAAGAGGAAUAGUUGAGGAUCUCUGUAUCCAGAUGUCAGAGGUGAAAUUCUUAGACCUUCUGGCGACAAGCAGCUGCGAAAGCAAUGAUCAAGGAUGUUU
rnacentral:rRNA from 1 species